UUAAUGAUGAUACAGGACCUUGUCUGAAUAUACUGAUUUCAAAAUUUGAGCUUAAAAUAAUAUUCUGAAAUCCAGUCAAUGUGCCUCACUAAAUUUUUCAGAGAAUUUAAACUCAAGAGACAAUUUUGUCUGUGUAAAAAAAUCUUUGGGUAUUUAGAAUUGGCAGUGUAAUAUACUACACUUUGCAAAUUUUUUUAAUACCCUUUUAAAAAUUUUCAUGUAUGUUUUCUGAGCUAGUGAUUAUUUUUUCUUUUUCUUUUUUCCCAUAUGUGCAUAUCAUGUGUAUAUAUGUUGUCUAUGUGAUGUUUCUAUGUAUGUGAUGUGUGUAUAUAUUUAUGUGUAUGAUUUGUGUAUCUCUGUGAGUGUUGUUGCAAGCCAAGAAAGGAAAGUUCAUCCUUGGAUCCUAUAAGGCAUACAUGUGUGAUGAGAUGAAAGCAAGAUCAUGUAAAAAUGAGAAUGCAACUCUUUCAUCAAACACUAUAUGCUAAAACAUUGUCUCUAAAAGAUGUCCAAGAGGAGAAUACUUAUGGGACAUGCAUUCUUAAACAGGCUGGUAAGUGCCUUCACAUACUAUUUUGUGAAGUGUAGUACACACAAUCUUGGUGUUUGAGGAACAUUUCUGAGGAAAAUAUCUGGUUGUUACCUAAUUUAAUGCUGCUUAAAUAAUAUCUUUCCAUGUAUUGUAAUUUAGGAUGUUUUAAUGUAGGACAGAAAUUAAUAAUUUCUGAAUUUAUGCUGCUAAAAUAAUAUUUUCUGUCUUGUCAUUCAGAAAAUUUCAUUUUGGGAAAGAAAUUAAGACUCCAACAGAGGGGACUUUUCUAAGUUAACUUCCUUUGAUACAUUUAAUUAAUUGCAAAUGAAGUAGGGGAAGUUCAUAAGAAUCCAGGAAGUAAUGUAACAAUUAUUGUGAAUGAUUUGAAAUGAUUUGAAUGAUUUGAAAGAACAGUGCGAUGUUCUGGGGUUACUCCUGGCUCUGCACUCAGGAAUUACUCCUGGCUGUGCUUGGAGGACCACAUUGGAUGCUGGGGAUUGAACCCACGUUGGCCACAUGCAAGGCAAACACCCUACCCACUGUACUAUUGUUCCCGCCCCACCUGAGUCAUUUUUUUAACCUAUGAUCAUCACUGUAUAACUAAGAUGCUUAAAAAAAUACAAAUAUCUCAUUUGAAAAUAAAGUAUAGAAACAAUUGGA